UCGUCCAUGCCAGUCCCAUCUAGACUUCAACGCCUGACCAAAAUUUUACUUUAAAUCUCGCUCAUCGCAUCAGCUUAUGUUGCUCUCAAACUCUUUCGUUUAUUCAAAGUGAUUCAAGAGGAUGUUACAACAACUAAUGAUCUGAGUCACCACAUUUGGUUGGAGGACAUAUAACAUGGUAGCAGAGAGAUCAACACAUGCAUGUAAGUAAAUAUACCCGUUUAUCUAACUUUAUUUGAGUUUUCAGUUGUUUCUGCAUCUGUUUAUUGCAUUUUGCUGGCCCAGUUUCCGCUUUUCUUCUUCUUCUUUUUUUCCCCCUUAGUAAAGACGAAAUUUUGGUCAUAGAAGCAGCAGUGAAUGAUGAAUCAAAAAUGAAUUCCACCUUUAGCUUUUGA